UAUACCUUUGAAUUUUUUACUGUUGAGAUAACAGUAUGAGUCCGUUUUUGCCCUUAAGCUAUUUUUAAGUGCAUUUGGUUUUGAUUGUUUUUUACUAAAAGCCGAGAAUAUUCUUGCGUGAGAGAUGUUUCUGUCAACCAAAUAGGAUUGGUUUUUGGUUUUUGUGUUGAUCUGUAGGACAAGACUGGUGACUGAUUAGCAAAGGCAUAUUUUUGUACGACGUCCCUCUCAAGAACCCUCUCUCUUCCAUUCCAAACCUCCGAACCAGAAUUUGGGUUUAGUCGAUGGUGCUUGCCAUGGUGGAUGCCACCUGCGGCGAUGGGUGUGAACUUUGACGACGACAUUAAGAUCCGCUCCAACGGCGACGGCGCUGUUCGACUGAGGCAGAGAGAGUCAAAGAGAUAGUCGAACAUUGUUCGAGUUCUAGAUCGACGACGCCGGUGGUCCGAGCCUCCGAGGUCGACGGCGUCGGAGUUUGGACAACAGAGGGCUAACUCGAUGAUGUCUACUCCAAUAUCAAUGAUAUAGAGUCCUGGGAAAUGGAGGGUUUUUACUUAUAAAAAAACCAAAUAUUGAAAGUUUUAUUUCGUUAAUAUCUUGGUUCAGUGAAGAUUCUAAUAAACAAGAACAAAAGAGGCACUUAUCUUCAAAUAAUUGUAGUGUCUCUUACAUUGAAGGAAUUCAAAUAAAAAGAUCUAUUCUUUUUUGUUAGUUCCUAUAACUUUAUAUAUUUUUUGUUGUUCAGACCUCACCUCACUAUGAAAACUGAAAAGUUUCAGUCUUUAAUAUGUUAAUUUUUAAAUAUUUUUGGAGGUUGUAGGGAUAGUUUGGGUUGGUUGAGUAGAUGUUGAAGGUACUAAGGUAUGGCCUUGUGGGAGAGCUCAUUUUCUUGAAGCCAAUUUUGUUUUGAUUUAUGAAUAACCAAGUUUAGUUUAUUUACAUGCUUAUUUUUUUCUUUUUCAUGUGUUACUUUUGUUUUGUUAAGAUUCUAUUGGAUGGCUAAAAUGUCCUUACUUUUCAUAGUGCUGCCAUCCAAGUGU